CCUACGGGGGGCUGCAGUGGGGAAUAUUGCACAAUGUGGGAAACCCUGAUGCAGCGACGCCGCGUGAGUGAAGAAGUAUUUCGGUAUGUAAACCUCUGUCAGCAGGGAAGAACGGUCACUGUGCUAAUCAGCAGUGAAUUGACGGUACCUGCAAAGGAAGCACCGGCUAACUCCGUGCCAGCAGCCGCGGUAAUACGGAGGGUGCGAGCGUUAAUCGGAAUUACUGGGCGUAAAGCGCUCGUAGGCGGUAUGUCAAGUCAAGGGUGAAAUCCCCGCGCUCAACGUGGGAACUGCCUUUGAAACUGGCAAACUGGAGUGUGUGAGAGGAUAGUGGAAUUACAGGUGUAGGAGUGAAAUCCGUAGAUAUCUGGAGGAACAUCAGUGGCGAAGGCGACUAUCUGGCACAUAACUGACGCUGAGGAGCGAAAGCGUGGGUAGCAAACAGGAUUAGAUACCCGAGUAGUC
rnacentral:rRNA from 1 species